CUGGCGGCGUGCAUAACACAUGCAAGUCGAACGAUGAACCUUAUUAGAUUUCUUCGGAAUGAAAAUAAGUGGAUUAGUGGCGAACGGGUGAGUAACACGUGAGUAACCUGCCUUACACAAGGGGAUAGCCUUUGGAAACGAAGAAUAAUACCCUAUAAAGUCAAAAUAUCGCAUGAUAUAGUGACCAAAGAUUUAUCGGUGUAAGAUGGACUUGCGUCUGAUUAGCUAGUUGGUGAGAUAAAAGCCCACCAAGGCGACGAUCAGUAGCCGGCUUGAGAGAGUGUACGGCCACAUUGGGACUGAGACACGGCCCAAACUCCUACGGGAGGCAGCAGUGGGGAAUUUUGCACAAUGGGGGAAACCCUGAUGCAGCGACGCCGCGUGAUUUAGAAGGCCUUCGGGUUGUAAAAAUCUUUUCUAUGGGAAGAAAAUGACAGUACCAUAGGAAUAAGGACCGGCUAAUUACGUGCCAGCAGCCGCGGUAAUACGUAAGGUCCGAGCGUUGUCCGGAAUCAUUGGGCGUAAAGGGUACGUAGGCGGGUAAGCAAGUUAGAAGUGAAAUCCUAUAGUUCAACUAUAGUAAGCUUUUAAAACUGCUCAUCUUGAGGUAUGGAAGGGAAAGUGGAAUUCCUAGUGUAGCGGUGAAAUGCGCAGAUAUUAGGAGGAAUACCGGUGGCGAAGGCGACUUUCUGGCCAUAACCUGACGCUGAGGUACGAAAGCGUGGGUAGCAAACAGGAUUAGAUACCCUGGUAGUCCACGCCGUAAACGAUGAGUGUUAGGUGUCUGGAGUAAAUCUGGGUGCCGCAGCUAACGCAUUAAACACUCCGCCUGGGGAGUACGCGCGCAAGCGUA
rnacentral:rRNA from 1 species